UCGCAAAAGUGUUGUUAACCACUGUAAACGUUACUUACUACACUUGAUACGUAUACCAUAAUGAUGGCCGAAAACUGUGUAGGGUGUGACAGAAGUCUUAUUGUGUGAGUGAAAAAGAAGACCGGCUUCAGUCUCAUUCCUUCGAGCGGGAUGAAAAAAAAUUAAAUUACCAAAAUGGCUUUAAAAAUAUAGGGGUUGGUGAUAAAAAAGUAAAUAUUUAGAGUUGUAUGUAUUUUUUAAUACCACAUUAUAAUUUUAAGUGUAUUUGGCACUAUUAGUUCAGUUAAUCAAGUUUUACAUACUUACACACUUAUAAUAAGUAAGUUACUCUUUGUCUACACUAAAAUUUUUCUAGAAACUAGAAAUAAUUUAUAUGGCUAAACAACGUUUGCCCGGUUAACUAGUAUAUAUAUUACAUAUGGUACUCAAGGUUUUAGAUCUCACUAUUUAAGAAAUAAGCCACGAGGCGGCGCUAAGGUAGAUACUUUACUAGCGUAUACAAAACUUGUUUAUACACAAAGGCGUAACGAUCAAAUAACUUUAUGAUUUAGUCUGAAAUUCUCAAAACGAACUGUUACUACAAUUUUAUUAUUAUCGGCUUAUUUAUUAUCGGCCAUAAUAACCGUGGCAGUAACAAACAACUAAACAACAACUAAACAUAAACAGUAUCAUUCGCAUUUAUCGGUAUUACUAGCGCCACCUUGAUUUUUUGAAGUGAAAACAAAUACACUGCACCAACUUAUCAU